ACCCUACACCUAGCUCAGGGAAAAAUGCGACGAUGGCAUGAUACAAGUGUAGGAGAAUUAUAUGUGUUUUUUGCACUGUUGAUGCUUAUGGGUCAUAUUCGUAAGCAUGUGUUGAAAGAAUAUUGGAUACUAAAUGACAUCACAGCUACUCCAGUAUUUGCAAAAUAUAUGCCCAGAGACAGGUUUUUGUCAUUACUAAGAUUCCUCCACUUUGCUGACAACAGUCAUCCUAAUGAUAAUGAUAAAUUUUGGGAAAUACGUGAAUGCUUCACAAUGCUGAAAGAAAGAUUUGCAAAAUUUUUCCAUCCCUUUCAACGUCUUGUAUUGGAUGGAUCAGUUACACUUUUUCGUGGUCGUUUAGCAUUCAGGCAGUACAUUCCUAGUAGGAGGCAUAGAUCUGAUACCAAAAUUUUCAUUCUUUAUGAUUGUGAAACAGGAUAUGUGCUUGACAUGAUAUUGUGCAGUGCAAGUGAUUCUGAUCUCAAGAAUGACUCGCAUGGAUUCUCUGCUGAGAUGGUGAAGAAAAUGAUGGAUCGUUACCUAGGUGGGAAGCAUAUCCUUUACACUGAUGAUUAUAAGACCUCCCCAAACCUUACAGAAUUCCUUGAAAAAAACAGGUCAUGUGGAACAGUACCUGCAGAUAAGGAACAGGAACAAGAAUUUGCAAAAGUUAUUUAUGGUGAAGGUCAACUGCAGAAGGCUGACAAGUUGCUUGCUAUAUGCAGGCAGGACAAACAUGCUGUAAAUGUACAAACUACUAAUCAAAAGGGAGACAUGGUAGAUAGAUGUAAGAAAGACAAAACAACAGGGAAGCCUAUCAUGAAACCUGAAACUGCAUUGGAUUAUAAUGCACGGAUUUGCCAGGUUGACAAAAGUGAUUUGAUGGUUGGCAGCAUUGAAUGUGUUCGUCGUACUGUGAAAUGGUACAAAAGAAUGUUUUUACAUCUAAUGGACAUCACAGUCCUCAAUUCAUAUAACUUGUAUGUGGUAAAAACUAGCAAGAAGGUAUCACUUAGAAUCUUCAGCAAAAGACUCAUUGAACAGAUUCUGGAAACAUAUGGCGUGGUGCAGAGAAGGGCAAGAGGUUGCUCACAAGCUGGCCUCCCUGACAGACUCCUUGGUAGAGAUUACAUAUCCCGUCAUUUUCUAGAAGCUCUGCCGCCCACUGCUGGGAAACCCAAGGCACAAAGACAGUGUCAUGUUUGCAAAAAUACAACAAAGCGAGCUGGCCGGCGCAAAGAUGUCACAACGUGGUGUAAAGAAUGUGGUGUAGCCUUGUGCAUAAGUUGUUUCAAGGAAUACCAUACACUAAAAAUAUACUAAAGUGUAAGGUAACUGUCUAUGCUAAAUAAGUUGUGUAAUACAAAAUACCAACACGAUAACAAGCUUAAAAGCUCAUUCAAAGUGUCCCUCACCACGAUCACCGCCUAAACAAAGUGCUGAGUAGCCAACAACUACCUUUGCCACUGAUGAUGCAAGAUGAGAGCCGAAGAUCAAGUAUGGCUGGGAUAUGCGAAGUAAGCAAAAAUAAAUUUGUUCACGGCUAUUACUACAAGUGUUUUCUUGUGGAUGAUGUUGUGUAUUUUCUACAAGUAUUGGAGUAUGUAAAUAAAUUAUAUUUUUUGA
rnacentral:misc_RNA from 1 species